CCGCGCCUCUCAUUCAUGCCGCGGGGGCGGGGUGUGGGACCCGGAUGCCCGGGCAAGUCCCGCCUCCUCACUGAGGGCGCGCGGCUUCAUUGUCGGCAAGUGCGCAGGCGCGGCGUCCCUUCCGCUGGGCUACUGGCUGCUCUAGAGGAUUGAUUCGUGAUGCCCAGCUAUAAGGUUCAUAUCUUCUCCGCUGUGUAGUGUUUUCCGUGUAUGUGGACGUUCGUAAGAGUUAAAAAAGUAAAGCUUCGCUUCUCGUAGCAUCCGGCCCAAGAGUCCUCAAAGAUGACCAUCUGUGGAAGCCAAGCAAGCUGUCCACCUCAGCUCCCCUAGCUAUUGGCGACGCUGCUCCUGCAACUGACACCACCCUUGGUAUACCACCAUAGCCACAAUGUCUUCCUCCUGAUUUUCCACCCAA